rnacentral:rRNA from 1 species
GAUGAACGCUGGCGGCGUGCCUAAUACAUGCAAGUCGAGCGAACAGACGAGGAUCUUGCUCCUCUGACGUUAGCGGCGGACGGGUGAGUAACACGUGGAUAACCUACCUAUAAGACUGGGAUAACUUCGGGAAACCGGAGCUAAUACCGGAUAAUAUAUUGAACCGCAUGGUUCAAUAGUGAAAGACGGUUUUGCUGUCACUUAUAGAUGGAUCCGCGCCGCAUUAGCUAGUUGGUAAGGUAACGGCUUACCAAGGCGACGAUGCGUAGCCGACCUGAGAGGGUGAUCGGCCACACUGGAACUGAGACACGGUCCAGACUCCUACGGGAGGCAGCAGCAGGGAAUCUUCCGCAAUGGGCGAAAGCCUGACGGAGCAACGCCGCGUGAGUGAUGAAGGUCUUCGGAUCGUAAAACUCUGUUAUUAGGGAAGAACAAAUGUGUAAGUAACUAUGCACGUCUUGACGGUACCUAAUCAGAAAGCCACGGCUAACUACGUG